AACGAACGCUGGCGGCAUGCCUAACACAUGCAAGUCGAACGAGACCUUCGGGUCUAGUGGCGCACGGGUGCGUAACGCGUGGGAACCUGCCCUUAGGUUCGGAAUAACUCCCCGAAAGGGGUGCUAAUACCGGAUAAUGUCUUCGGACCAAAGAUUUAUCGCCUUUGGAUGGGCCCGCGUUGGAUUAGCUAGUUGGUAGGGUAAAAGCCUACCAAGGCGACGAUCCAUAGCUGGUCUGAGAGGAUGAUCAGCAACACUGGGGCUGAGACACGGCCCAGACUCCUACGGGAGGCAGCAGUGGAGAAUAUUGGACAAUGGGCGAAAGUCUGAUCCAGCAAUGCCGGGUGAGUGAUGAAGGCCUUAGGGUUGUAAAGCUCUUUUAGCCGGGAUGAUAAUGACAGUACCGGGUGAAUAAGCUCCGGCUAACUCCGUG
rnacentral:rRNA from 1 species